AAACUUUCAACAAUGGAUCUCUUGGUUCCGGCAUCGAUGAAGAACGCAGCGAACUGCGAUAAGUAAUGUGAAUUGCAGAAUUUAGUGAAUCAUCGAGUCUUUGAACGCACAUUGCGCCCCCUGGUAUUCCGGGGGGCAUGCCUGUCCGAGCGUCAUU
rnacentral:rRNA from 1 species